CUGCCAGUCAUAUGCUUGUCUCAAAGAUUAAGCCAUGCAUGUCUGAGUACUUGCCGACCUAAGGCGAAACCGCGAAUGGCUCAUUAAAUCAGUCAUAAUUUCCAGGAUGUUGGAAAAUCCUUACUCGGAUAACUGUGGUAAUUCUAGAGCUAAUACGUGCAACUAGUCUCCGACCCCGGUCGUCUCUCCGGAGGCGGUUCGGGGGAAGGGCGCAUUUGUUAGACCAAAAACCGGGUGGACGGUCGAAGGUAGAGCGGUCGUGACUUCGCGUUCUUCCCUCUCCUUCGUCUCCAAUCCUCUUACGGUUACGUGGUGACUCUGGAUAACUACCGCCGAGCGCUGAGGUCUUCGUACCGGCGCCGUAUCCUCCGAGUGUCUGCCUUAUCAGCUGUCGAUUGUAGGUUAUUCGCCUACAAUGGCUGUAACGGGUAACGGGGAAUCAGGGUUCGAUUCCGGAGAGGGAGCCUGAGAAACGGCUACCACAUCUAAGGAAGGCAGCAGGCACGCAAAUUACCCACUCCCGGCACGGGGAGGUAGUGACGAGAAAUAACGAUGCGGGACUCUUCCGAGGCCUCGCAAUCGGAAUGAGUCCAAUUUAAAAAAGUGGACGAGGAUCCAUUGGAGGGCAAGUCUGGUGC
rnacentral:rRNA from 1 species